rnacentral:lncRNA from 10 species
GUAGGGAAGUGGAAAAGUGGAGCCUGCACCGCCCGCUCCCGGCACCCCCGGACACCGCCCCGGUCUCACGCAUGCGCAGAGGGCCGAUCCAGUUCUUUUCGGCUGGAAUGGGGAAUUUGUGAGGUCAAGGAUGCAUUCCAGGAAAGUUCUAUAAAAAUAUACCAUCAACUCCAACCUGAUAUUUGACCUAGCCAUGGAAAACCUCAUUGGCUCCUCACUGGAUCAGACCAUAAAAAUGAUCCAGGAAUGAAAAUCUAAGAUAAAUUCCCACCACUUCAAGAUGUUCUUAUACAAGUCAACAGUCUAGCAGAUCAGCCAGUCUCUUUCAUCAUCAAGCAGACAUACUCAAGAAAGAGGAAUAGUGAAGUGAAAUAUACAGAAGCAUGUUCAAGUUCAUCUGUUGAAUCUGGAAUUGUGAAUAGUGACAAUAUUGAGAAAAAUACUGACUCCAAUCUGCAAACUUCAACUUCAUUUGAGCCACAUUUCAAAAAGAAAAAAGUAAGUGCAAGACGUUAUAAUGAAGAUUACUUAAAAUAUGGCUUUAUCAAAUGUGAAAAACCCUUUGAAAAUGACAGACCUCAGUGUGUUAUUUGUAAUAAUAUUCUUGCGAAUGAAAGCUUAAAACCUUCGAAAUUAAAAAGGCACUUAGAAACUCAGCAUGC